GUAGUUCUAUACAAUCUAGUAUAGCUUGAUAUAAUAUCCUUAAUAGCCUUCGCAAGGCGGAGGUCGGGGGUUCGAUUCCCCUCAUCUCCA
rnacentral:tRNA from 1 species